GCGGAGGGAUCAUUACCGAGUUUACAACUCCCAAACCCCUGUGAACAUACCUAUACGUUGCCUCGGCGGAUCAGCCCGCGCCCCGUAAAAAGGGACGGCCCGCCCGAGGACCCCUAAACUCUGUUUUUAGUGGAACUUCUGAGUAAAACAAACAAAUAAAUCAAAACUUUCAACAACGGAUCUCUUGGUUCUGGCAUCGAUGAAGAACGCAGCAAAAUGCGAUAAGUAAUGUGAAUUGCAGAAUUCAGUGAAUCAUCGAAUCUUUGAACGCACAUUGCGCCCGCCAGUAUUCUGGCGGGCAUGCCUGUUCGAGCGUCAUUUCAACCCUCAAGCUCAGCUUGGUGUUGGGACUCGCGGUAACCCGCGUUCCCCAAAUCGAUUGGCGGUCACGUCGAGCUUCCAUAGCGUAGUAAUCAUACACCUCGUUACUGGUAAUCGUCGCGGCCACGCCGUAAAACCCCAACUUCUGAAUGUUGACCUCGGAUCAGGUAGGAAUACCCGCUGAACUUAAGCAUAUCAA
rnacentral:rRNA from 1 species